UACGGAGGGGGCUAGCGUUGUUCGGAAUUACUGGGCGUAAAGCGCACGUAGGCGGCCGAAUAAGUCGGGUGUGAAAGCCCUGGGCUCAACCCAGGAAGUGCACUCGAAACUGCUCGGCUUGAGUAUGGAAGAGGGUUGCGGAAUUCCCGGUGUUGAGGUGAAAUUCGUAGAUAUCGGGAGGAACACCAGUGGCGAAGGCGGCAACCUGGGCCAAUACUGACGCUGAGGUGCGAAAGCGUGGGGAGCAAACAGG
rnacentral:rRNA from 1 species